GAGUUUGAUCCUGGCUCAGAAUGAACGUUGGCGGCGUGGAUUAGGCAUGCAAGUCGCACGAGAAACUAAUUAGCUUGCUAAGAGGUAGACAGUGGCGCAAGGGAGAGUAACGCGUGGUUACUUGCCCUCGAGACCGGGAUAGUGUCGGGAAACUGGCAGUAAUACCGGAUAACAUCUUCGGAUCAAAUGGUGUGAUUCCGCUCGAGGAUAGGACCGCGUACUAUUAGCUUGUUGGUGAGGUAAUGGCUCACCAAGGCUUCGAUGGUUACCGGGUGUGAGAGCAUGGCCCGGCUCACUGGGACUGAGACACUGCCCAGACACCUACGGGUGGCUGCAGUCGAGAAUCUUCGGCAAUGGACGAAAGUCUGACCGAGCGACGCCGCGUGCGGGAUGAAGGCCCUCGGGUUGUAAACCGCUGUCAGUAGUUAGGAAGUCCAUGAGGGUUAUCUCUCAUGGUUGACCGAUCUUCAGAGGAAGGACGGGCUAAGUUCGUGCCAGCAGCCGCGGUAAGACGAACCGUCCAAACGUUAUUCGGUAUCACUGGGCUUAAAGCGUGCGUAGGCGGCUUGGUAGGUGAGGUGUGAAAGCCCGCGGCUCAACCGUGGAAUUGCGUUUCAAACCCCCAAGCUCGAGGAAGAUAGGGGUGAUGGGAACUUAUGGUGGAGCGGUGAAAUGCGUUGAUAUCAUAGGGAACACCGGUGGCGAAAGCGCAUCACUGGAUCUUUUCUGACGCUGAGGCACGAAAGCUAGGGUAGCGAACGGGAUUAGAUACCCCGGUAGUCCUAGCCGUAAACGAUGAACACCGGGUUGAGGGGACUUCCACAUCCUCUCGGCCGUAGCGAAAGCGUUAAGUGUUCCGCCUGGGGAGUAUGGUCGCAGGCUGAACUCAAAGGAAUUGACGG
rnacentral:rRNA from 1 species